rnacentral:lncRNA from 1 species
AAAUACUGGUGUUUUAAGAGCUUUGUGAAAUGUUCUUAAGAGAGGACAUACUCUGGAGAAUUUCUUUAAUUGUUCAGUUUCACGGGGUUCUGGUACAGCAAGAGCUCAUGAAAUGAGCAGAGAUGCAAAGGUCCCAGCUGGGUGCAUCAGUCAUUGACUCUAUUGCCAUCCAUCCAAAAUGGAGGUUAAAUAUAAUUGGUGAUGAAAAUCAAAAAUCUUCCAUGUAAUCAUAUUAA